GCUCCUGUUCCUUGCUCCUGUUCCUUGCUCCUGUUCCUUGCUCCUGUUCCUGUUCUCUUUGAACCACUAUACUCCUCCUGCAACAUAAAUCUGCAUUCCCGUGAAGAAAAUGAAGUCCAAUUCCAGCAGAGCAGGAAAUACAAGUGUCUUCGUAUUCAGCACCACUACAGCCACCAGCCAGGUUUUAUCCUGUAGGCUCAGUUCCAUCUCCACCCAACCGAGGGGCAUCCUGGAUUCCCCGUCAGCCAGAUAGAGUGGAUCUCCAAUCCAUGGGCUGCUGUCCCAGUCUCACCAGUUUAUCCACAGUAGCAACUCGGAGCUGGCUUGCCAUAUGUGGAUUGACGUUCCUGAAGAUCGGUUUGAGCACUGCAGCCUUCUGAAUAUCAGGCUUCCAGAUUUGACAUAAGGAGCGGUACAUAUAGAUAAAAUCGCAGAUGCUUUCCCCCUCUCCUUGUACUCUUGUCAUCACUCUUUCUGCCAAUUCAUCCUCAUGGCCUUCAGACAAAAAGGUAGCACAUAACUUUUUCUGAAAUCUGACCAGGAAUGUGUGUUUAAACGGGCCACAUCAACUCGUCUUCCGUCAGAGGAUUUGAUGCCAUAUAAUCAUUACAUUUCUCCAGGGGAUCCUGUUCAUUCUCCAUCUUCCCAAAUGAUGGAAACUGCAGCUUAACAGGACAUUUUCCUAUCAACGGUCCCCUGCCUUCAGGCAGAACAGGACCUCUAACAUACCUGCCUUUAUUUCGCACCUUAUAGUAGACUGUGGGCGCUGCCUCUGGACCUCGCCCAGCUAAUCACCAGUUGGGGCCUCUUUGGUAGGGACAGUUGUAAGUGCAGACAGGGGCGGUUAUGGGCAGCAUUCGUGGAGGGGCAGCAUGAGCGCCAGCAAAAAUAAUUAAAUAAAUAAUUAUAUAAAUAUUA